GAUGAACGCUGGCGGCGUGCCUAAUACAUGCAAGUCGAACGAGCAGACGGGGAGCUUGCUACUCUGUCGUUAGCGGCGGGAGGGUGAGUAACACAUGGAUAAAAUACCUAUAAUACUGGGAUAAAUUCAGGAGAACGGGGCUAUUACCGGUUAAUAUAUUUCACCGCCUCGUUCGAUAGUUGAAGACGGUUUUGCUGUCACUUAUAGAUGGAUCCGCGCCGGCUUAGCGAGUUUGUGAGGUAACGGCUUCCCAAGGCUACGGUGCGCCGCCGACCUGAGAGGGUGUUCGGCCACACUGGAACAGAGACACGGUCCAGACCCCUACGGGAUGCAGCAGGAGGGAAUCUUCCGCAAUGGGGGAAAGCCUGACGGAGCAACGUCGCGCGAGUGAUGAAGGUCUUUGGAUCGUAAAACUCUGUUAUUAGGGAAGAACAAAUGUGUAAGUAACUAUGCACGUCUUGACGGUACCUAAUCAGAAAGCCACGGCUAACUACGUG
rnacentral:rRNA from 1 species